CAGCAGCCACGGUAAUACGAAGGGGGCUAGCGUUGCUCGGAAUGACUGGGCGUAAAGGGCGCGUAGGCGGAUGGCACAGUCAGAUGUGAAAUUCCCGGGCUUAACCUGGGGGCUGCAUUUGAUACGUGUUGUCUAGAGUGAGGAAGAGGGUCGUGGAAUUCCCAGUGUAGAGGUGAAAUUCGUAGAUAUUGGGAAGAACACCGGUGGCGAAGGCGGCGACCUGGUCCUUUACUGACGCUGAGGCGCGAAAGCGUGAGGAGCAAACAGGAUUAGAUACCCCGGUAGUCCCUGUCUCUUAUAC
rnacentral:rRNA from 1 species